UACGUAGGGGGCGAGCGUUGUCCGGAUUUAUUGGGCGUAAAGAGCUCGUAGGCGGUUUGGCAAGUCGGGUGUGAAAACUCCGGCUCAACUCGGAGACGCCACUCGAUACUGCCAUGACUCGAGUCCGGUAGGGGAGUGGCGGAAUUCCUGGUGUAGCGGUGAAAUGCGCAGAUAUCAGGAGGAACACCGGUGGCGAAGGCGGCACUCUGGGCCGGUACUGACGCUGAGGAGCGAAAGCGUGGGGAGCGAACAGG
rnacentral:rRNA from 1 species